UUUAACAAUGUGAAUCAACCGCAGACAGCAGGCAACCAUAAGACCUGCCGAGGUAUAAUUUAAGCUAAUUUUAGCUAAAAUUUUACUUAAUCUGCGGUUACCCCGUAGUUUUUUUAUUAUCAAC
rfam:Candidatus Kuenenbacteria bacterium CG2_30_39_24 cg2_3.0_scaffold_1429_c, whole genome shotgun sequence.